rnacentral:rRNA from 1 species
UACAGAGGGUGCAAGCGUUAAUCGGAAUUACUGGGCGUAAAGCGCACGUAGGUGGAUGCUUAAGUCGGAUGUGAAAUCCCCGAGCUUAACUUGGGAAUUGCAUUCGAUACUGGGCGUCUAGAAUAUAGUAGAGGGAAGUGGAAUUUCUGGUGUAGCGGUGAAAUGCGUAGAUAUGAGAAGGAACAUCAGUGGCGAAGGCGGCUUCCUGGACUAAUAUUGACGCUUAGGUGCGAAAGCGUGGGGAGCAAACAGG